GCCCCCGUGUUGUAACGGGAGCCUGCCGUCUUGGUAUGGCGGAAGCGUGGGUUCGAUUCCCACCGGGGGCUC
rnacentral:tRNA from 1 species